CGUAAGAAUUAUAAACUAGUAUUUGAUUAUCAGCACAUUGCAGCAUAUUAUCGAGCCAUCGAGAUGUAUAUUACGUGCACAAUAUAUGGACAUCAUAUAGACGUAAAGUAUACGAGUAUCUCCUAUAAGUAAUAAGUCCUAUAAAAUGGUAAAUAUUUUAAAAUAAAACGACCACCCAAAACUGAAGACGAAAAUAUUAAAACAAAGUGUGAUCUCUGUAAUUACUAUACAAAAGAAUAUAAUGGCAGCACAUUAAGAUUCACAUGAAAUGUUUGCAUUCAUAUCAAGAGAAUGCACGAUAAUGUUCUGGAAAAUUUUGAAAAUUAUACAAAAGCUUCUGUUAAUGAACGUUCUGACGCGUCGAGGUAAAAAAAGAAAAUCAAACUACUCAAGCUCGAACAUCUCAAACACAUUUAAACAGCUAAAUGUGAAAUAAUAACAACGAACUUGUUUGAAGGCUUAAACAAUGUGGUAUAAUUUCUGAUUCAAACUCCCCAUGUGUCUCCGAUUUUUAUUAAGAAGAAAAAAGAGGUAGUAGAUUUUGUGUGGAUUACCGAAUUCUUAAUAAAAUAAAUGUGAGUUCUAUUAAAUCUUAUAUAUCUGAACAAUAUUGUACUGAUUAUUAGGUAUGAAAUUGUACAUUUAGAUUUUAGACACGUUUUUCGAUCAGUUAUUCAUAAGUAAGAACACUAUAGAGAAGACAAUAUAA